rnacentral:rRNA from 1 species
UGGGGAAUCUUGCACAAUGGGCGAAAGCCUGAUGCAGCAACGCCGCGUGCGGGAAGACAGCCCUAGGGUUGUAAACCGCUUUCAGCAGGGAAGAAACUGACGGUACCUGCAGAAGAAGAUGCGGCCAACUACGUGCCAGCAGCCGCGGUGACACGUAGGCAUCAAGCGUUAUCCGGAUUUAUUGGGCGUAAAGAGCUCGUAGGCGGUUCGGUAAGUCGGGUGUGAAAACUCUGGGCUCAACCCAGAGAGGCCACUCGAUACUGCUGUGACUAGAGUGCGGUAGGGGAGCGGGGAAUUCCUGGUGUAGCGGUGAAAUGCGCAGAUAUCAGGAGGAACACCAGUGGCGAAGGCGCCGCUCUGGGCCGUAACUGACGCUGAGGAGCGAAAGCAUGGGUAGCAAACAGGAUUAGAUACCCUGGUAGUCCAUGCCGUAAAACGUUGGGCACUAGGUGUGGGUCUCAACCAACGAGAUCCGCGCCGUCGCUAACGCAUUAAGUGCCCGCCUGGGAGUACGGCCGCAAGGCUAAAACU